rnacentral:rRNA from 1 species
AUGCAAGUCGAGGGGUAUGGUUCUUCGGAACUAGAGACCGGCGCACGGGUGCGUAACGCGUAUGCAAUCUACCUUUUACAGAGGGAUAGCCCAGAGAAAUUUGGAUUAAUACCUCAUAGUAUUACGAAAUGGCAUCAUUUUGUAAUUAAAGUCACAACGGUAAAAGAUGAGCAUGCGUCCCAUUAGCUAGUUGGUAAGGUAACGGCUUACCAAGGCUACGAUGGGUAGGGGUCCUGAGAGGGAGAUCCCCCACACUGGUACUGAGACACGGACCAGACUCCUACGGGAGGCAGCAGUGAGGAAUAUUGGACAAUGGGCGCAAGCCUGAUCCAGCCAUGCCGCGUGCAGGAUGACGGUCCUAUGGAUUGUAAACUGCUUUUAUACGAGAAGAAACACUACUUCGUGAAGUAGCUUGACGGUAUCGUAAGAAUAAGGAUCGGCUAACUCCGUGCCAGCAGCCGCGGUAAUACGGAGGAUCCAAGCGUUAUCCGGAAUCAUUGGGUUUAAAGGGUCCGUAGGCGGUUUAAUAAGUCAGUGGUGAAAGCCCAUCGCUCAACGGUGGAACGGCCAUUGAUACUGUUAAACUUGAAUUAUUAGGAAGUAACUAGAAUAUGUAGUGUAGCGGUGAAAUGCUUAGAGAUUACAUGGAAUACCAAUUGCGAAGGCAGGUUACUACUAAUGGAUUGACGCUGAUGGACGAAAGCGUGGGUAGCGAACAGGAUUAGAUACCCUGGUAGUCCACGCCGUAAACGAUGGAUACUAGCUGUUGGAAGCAAUUUCAGUGGCUAAGCGAAAGUGAUAAGUAUCCCACCUGGGGAGUACGUUCGCAAGAAUGAAACUCAAAGGAAUUGACGGGGGCCCGCACAAGCGGUGGAGCAUGUGGUUUAAUUCGAUGAUACGCGAGGAACCUUACCAAGGCUUAAAUGUAGAUUGACCGUUUUGGAAACAGAACUUUCGCAAGACAAUUUACAAGGUGCUGCAUGGUUGUCGUCAGCUC